rnacentral:rRNA from 1 species
AACGUAGGAGACAAACGUUAUCCGGAGUUACUGGGCGUAAAGGGCGUGUAGGUGGUUGUGUAAGUUCGGCGUGAAAUCUCUCGGCUUAACCGGGAGUGGUCGUCGGAUACUGCACGACUAGAGGACGGUAGAGGCGUGUGGAAUUCCGGGAGUAGUGGUGAAAUGCGUAGAGAUCCGGAGGAACACCAGUGGCGAAGGCGACACGCUGGGCCGUACCUGACACUGAGGCGCGAUAGCAUGGGGAGCAAACAGG